rnacentral:rRNA from 1 species
ACGGGGGGGGCAAACGUUAUUCGGAAUUACUGGGCUUAAAGAGUUCGUAGGCGGCGCGGAAAGUAGGGUGUGAAAGCCCUCGGCUCAACCGAGGAAUUGCGCUCUAAACUACCGUGCUUGAGGAAGCUAGAGGUGAGCGGAACUGAUGGUGGAGCGGUGAAAUGCGUUGAUAUCAUCAGGAACACCGGAGGCGAAGGCGGCUCACUGGGGCUUUUCUGACGCUGAGGAACGAAAGCCAGGGGAGCGAACGGGA